UGGUGGGUAGUUUGACUGGGGCGGUCUCCUCCUAAAGAGUAACGGAGGAGCACGAAGGUUGGCUAAUCCUGGUCGGACAUCAGGAGGUUAGUGCAAUGGCAUAAGCCAGCUUGACUGCGAGCGUGACGGCGCGAGCAGGUGCGAAAGCAGGUCAUAGUGAUCCGGUGGUUCUGAAUGGAAGGGCCAUCGCUCAACGGAUAAAAGGUACUCCGGGGAUAACAGGCUGAUACCGCCCAAGAGUUCAUAUCGACGGCGGUGUUUGGCACCUCGAUGUCGGCUCAUCACAUCCUGGGGCUGAAGUAGGUCCCAAGGGUAUGGCUGUUCGCCAUUUAAAGUGGUACGCGAGCUGGGUUUAGAACGUCGU
rnacentral:rRNA from 2 species